rnacentral:rRNA from 1 species
CCUACGGGAGGCAGCAGUGAGGAAUAUUGGUCAAUGGACGAGAGUCUGAACCAGCCAAGUAGCGUGAAGGAUGACUGCCCUAUGGGUUGUAAACUUCUUUUAUAAAGGAAUAAAACGAGGCACGUGUGCCUUUUUGCAUGUACUUUAUGAAUAAGGAUCGGCUAACUCCGUGCCAGCAGCCGCGGUAAUACGGAGGAUCCGAGCGUUAUCCGGAUUUAUUGGGUUUAAAGGGAGCGGAGAUGGGUUGUUAAGUCAGCUGUGAAAGUUUGCGGCUCAACCGUAAAAUUGCAAUUGAUACUGGCAGUCUUGAGUACAGUUGAGGUAGGCGGAAUUCGUGGUGUAGCGGUGAAAUGCUUAGAUAUCACGAAGAACCCCGAUUGCGAAGGCAGCUUGCUAAAUUGUGACUGACAUUGAGGCUCGAAAGUGUGGGUAUCAAACAGGAUUAGAUACCCCAGUAGUC